rnacentral:rRNA from 1 species
CAAUAGCGUAUAUUAAAGUUGUUGCGGUAAAAAAGCUCGUAGUUGGAUUUCUACCGAAGAUAGCCGGUCGGGUCUUCGACCUUGUAUCUGGUUUUGUCUUUGGUAUCCUCAUAGGGAACGUUUCUGCGCUUUAUUGCGUGGUGCGGUAUCUAUGACUUUUACUUUGAGGAAAUUGGAGUGUUCACGGCAGGCAAACGCCUUGAAUAUAUUAGCAUGGAAUAAUAACAUAGGAUCUUCGUCCUAUUUUGUUGGUUUCUAGGGCUAAGAUAAUGAUUAAUAGGGAUAAUUGGGGGCAUCUGUAUCAACGCGUCAGAGGUGGAAUUCUUGGAUUGCGUUGCGACAAACUACUGCGAAAGCAUUUGCCAAGGAUGUUUUCAUUGA